rnacentral:pre_miRNA from 1 species
UCUCAUGGAUGAACAAAGAAAGUGGUUUCUUGAGAUGGAAACUAAUUCUGAUGAAAAUGCUGUGAA